ACGCUCGACACCUACGGGAGGUAGCAGUAGGGAAUCUUCCACAAUGGACGCAAGUCUGAUGGAGCAACGCCGCGUGAGUGAAGAAGGUUUUCGGAUCGUAAAGCUCUGUUGUUGGUGAAGAAGGAUAGAGGUAGUAACUGGCCUUUAUUUGACGGUAAUCAACCAGAAAGUCACGGCUAACUACGUGCCAGCAGCUGACGGUAAUCUGAGGCGGGCGUGGACGAAGGC
rnacentral:rRNA from 1 species